AAGAUUUUAAGUUAAAGAAACUGUAGGCCUUCAAAGCCUAAAAUAAAAACAAUAUUUUAAAUCUUG
rnacentral:tRNA from 1 species